rnacentral:rRNA from 1 species
GGCCCCACCAGGAGUGGAGCCUGCGGCUUAAUUUUGACUCCACACGGGAAAACCUCACCCGGCCCGGACACCGUAAGGAUUGACAGAUUGAGAGCUCUUUCUUAAUUCGGUGGGUGGUGGUGCAUGGCCGUUCUUAGUUGGUGGAGCGAUUUGUCUGGUUAAUUCCGAUAACGAACGAGACUCUGGCCUAUUAAAUAGACGAGAUAUUAAAAAGUAUAUCGCACUUCUUAGAGGGACGAGCGGCGUCUAGUCGCGUGAAAAAGAGCAAUAACAGGUCUGUGAUGCCCUUAGAUGUCCGGGGCUGCACGCGCGCUACACUGAAAGAAUCAGUGUGCGUUUUACCUAGUUCGGAAGAACCGGGUAACCCAAGUAAAUUCUUUCGUGCUUGGGAUAGGGAAUUGCAAUUAUUUCCCUUAAACGAGGAAUUCCCAGUAAAUGCGGGUCAUAAGCUCGCGUUGAUUACGUCCCUGCCCUUUGUACACACCGCCCGUCGCUACUACCGAUUGGAUGACUUAGUGA